CCAUCUUCUUCAAAAUAACCGUUGUAUAGUGUAGUGUCAUAUAGUGUCCUAUGUUAAUUUAUAUUAAACUCAAUGCACCAUACAGGAAGCUCCUCCAAGCUAAACACGCUUAUCGUGGCAACAAACAAAAAAAUUUGACGACAAACGGUAGACUGUUUUACCCUUGAAAAAGGCCACAAUAAACGGCCGAAACGUCGGGCAAUGCAAAACUAACUGUUUGAAUUACCCUAGACUGAGA